rnacentral:rRNA from 1 species
GGUUAAGCGACUAAGCGUACACGGUGGAUGCCCUGGCAGUCAGAGGCGAUGAAGGACGUGCUAAUCUGCGAUAAGCGUCGGUAAGGUGAUAUGAACCGUUAUAACCGGCGAUUUCCGAAUGGGGAAACCCAGUGUGAUUCGUCACACUAUCAUUACGUGAAUACAUAGCGUAAUGAAGCGAACCGGGGGAACUGAAACAUCUAAGUACCCCGAGGAAAAGAAAUCAACCGAGAUUCCCCCAGUAGCGGCGAGCGAACGGGGAGCAGCCCAGAGUCUGAAUCAGCUUGUGUGUUAGUGGAACGGUCUGGAAAGUCCGACGGUACAGGGUGAUAGUCCCGUACACCAAAAUGCACAGGUUGUGAACUCGAAGAGUAGGGCGGGACACGUGGUAUCCUGUCUGAAUAUGGGGGGACCAUCCUCCAAGGCUAAAUACUCCUGACUGACCGAUAGUGAACCAGUACCGUGAGGGAAAGGCGAAAAGAACCCCGGCGAGGGGAGUGAAAAAGAACCUGAAACCGUGUACGUACAAGCAGUGGGAGCCUCUUUAUGGGGUGACUGCGUACCUUUUGUAUAAUGGGUCAGCGACUUAUAUUCUGUAGCAAGGUUAACCGUAUAGGGGAGCCGAAGGGAAACCGAGUCUUAACUGGGCGUUAAGUUGCAGGGUAUAGACCCGAAACCCGGUGAUCUAGCCAUGGGCAGGUUGAAGGUUGGGUAACACUAACUGGAGGACCGAACCGACUAAUGUUGAAAAAUUAGCGGAUGACUUGUGGCUGGGGGUGAAAGGCCAAUCAAACCGGGAGAUAGCUGGUUCUCCCCGAAAGCUAUUUAGGUAGCGCCUCGUGAAUUCAUCUUCGGGGGUAGAGCACUGUUUCGGCUAGGGGGUCAUCCCGACUUACCAACCCGAUGCAAACUGCGAAUACCGAAGAAUGUUAUCACGGGAGACACACGGCGGGUGCUAACGUCCGUCGUGAAGAGGGAAACAACCCAGACCGCCAGCUAAGGUCCCAAAGUCAUGGUUAAGUGGGAAACGAUGUGGGAAGGCACAGACAGCCAGGAUGUUGGCUUAGAAGCAGCCAUCAUUUAAAGAAAGCGUAAUAGCUCACUGGUCGAGUCGGCCUGCGCGGAAGAUGUAACGGGGCUAAACCAUGCACCGAAGCUGCGGCAGCGACACUAUGUGUUGUUGGGUAGGGGAGCGUUCUGUAAGCCGUUGAAGGUGNNNNNNNNNNNNNNNNNNNNNNNNNNNNNNNNNNNNNNNNNNNNNNNNNNAAAAACCCGCACGCCGGAAGACCAAGGGUUCCUGUCCAACGUUAAUCGGGGCAGGGUGAGUCGACCCCUAAGGCGAGGCCGAAAGGCGUAGUCGAUGGGAAACAGGUUAAUAUUCCUGUACUUGGUGUUACUGCGAAGGGGGGACGGAGAAGGCUAUGUUAGCCGGGCGACGGUUGUCCCGGUUUAAGCAUGUAGGCGGAGGUUCCAGGUAAAUCCGGUACCUUUUUAACGCUGAGGUGUGAUGACGAGGCACUACGGUGCUGAAGUAACAAAUGCCCUGCUUCCAGGAAAAGCCUCUAAGCAUCAGGUAACACGAAAUCGUACCCCAAACCGACACAGGUGGUCAGGUAGAGAAUACCAAGGCGCUUGAGAGAACUCGGGUGAAGGAACUAGGCAAAAUGGUGCCGUAACUUCGGGAGAAGGCACGCUGAUAUGUAGGUGAAGUGGUUUACCCAUGGAGCUGAAAUCAGUCGAAGAUACCAGCUGGCUGCAACUGUUUAUUAAAAACACAGCACUGUGCAAACACGAAAGUGGACGUAUACGGUGUGACGCCUGCCCGGUGCCGGAAGGUUAAUUGAUGGGGUUAUCCGUAAGGAGAAGCUCUUGAUCGAAGCCCCGGUAAACGGCGGCCGUAACUAUAACGGUCCUAAGGUAGCGAAAUUCCUUGUCGGGUAAGUUCCGACCUGCACGAAUGGCGUAAUGAUGGCCAGGCUGUCUCCACCCGAGACUCAGUGAAAUUGAACUCGCUGUGAAGAUGCAGUGUACCCGCGGCAAGACGGAAAGACCCCGUGAACCUUUACUAUAGCUUGACACUGAACACUGGUCCUUGAUGUGUAGGAUAGGUGGGAGGCUUUGAAGUGUGGACGCCAGUCUGCAUGGAGCCAUCCUUGAAAUACCACCCUUUAAUGGCUGGUGUUCUAACGUGGACCCGUUACCCGGGUUGCGGACAGUGUCUGGUGGGUAGUUUGACUGGGGCGGUCUCCUCCUAAAGAGUAACGGAGGAGCACGAAGGUUAGCUAAUCCUGGUCGGACAUCAGGAGGUUAGUGCAAAGGCAUAAGCUAGCUUGACUGCGAGAGUGACGGCUCGAGCAGGUGCGAAAGCAGGUCUUAGUGAUCCGGUGGUUCUGAAUGGAAGGGCCAUCGCUCAACGGAUAAAAGGUACUCCGGGGAUAACAGGCUGAUACCGCCCAAGAGUUCAUAUCGACGGCGGUGUUUGGCACCUCGAUGUCGGCUCAUCACAUCCUGGGGCUGAAGUAGGUCCCAAGGGUAUGGCUGUUCGCCAUUUAAAGUGGUACGCGAGCUGGGUUUAGAACGUCGUGAGACAGUUCGGUCCCUAUCUGCCGUGGGCGCUGGAGAAUUGAGGGGGGCUGCUCCUAGUACGAGAGGACCGGAGUGGACGCAUCACUGGUGUUCGGGUUGUCAUGCCAAUGGCAUUGCCCGGUAGCUAAAUGCGGAAGAGAUAAGUGCUGAAAGCAUCUAAGCACGAAACUUGCCCCGAGAUGAGUUCUCCCUGAGACUAUAAGUCUCCUGAAGGAACGUU